CAACAACACCGUAUAUGAGCCGUGAACCGAAUGGAAGAGGAGCAAACUAAUAAAGAGGGCCAGGAUGCACAAUGGGCAAGAUGAUGAUUGGAAAUGGGUACGAGGUGUUCUGACCUGGUUGUAGGUCCCGUGGACUUCACAGCUGACAACCAGCUGCAGGUAUUGAAGAGCGCCCCCCUCAACCCCAUGGCCAUCUGUGAGUACUGCACCCAUAGUAGAGAAUAGUGACAUUAAAUGAUACAAAACAACAGAGCUUAAAGUUCAGAUGAUUACACGACUCAUAAAAGCAGUAAUGUGUUACUAUUGUACAUACUACAUGUGUAAACAUGAGACAUAGCCAGAGCUUCCAGUUUAAAUUAUUCUUUAGUUUACUCAGUAAAAAGCUGCUUUUCAGCCUGGUGGUAAGAUGACUAUGUUAUAGUUCUAAAGCUUUUGUUGUUGUUGUUGUUGUUGUUGUUGUUGUUGUUGUGCCUUCCCGUUCCACCGUAGAGUUUAUAAUUAUGCUGCUUUGUACAUGGUUUGUAUUGUUAUUACAACAUAUCACAGAAUACAAUCCAAAAAGUUGGUGAGUUCCAAAAAAAAGAAACUUAAUUGGUGAAUUAGAUUUUUUUUUUAAGUACAAGACAAAGAAGAUAUAGGUUUUUAGUUGCCGUCCUUAUUUUGCUGUUAUUUUGGGAAACAAGGCCAUUCCAUAUAAAAUAGACACAGUGAAGAUGAAGGUCCAUCCAACUAUGAUGAAGCCACAAUUAAGACUUUCCCAAACUGCUUCCUGCUCCUGGAAUCAACGAAGCUUCCCCUGAACAUGAAGCAAUGUCCCUUCUGCACCAGAAGAUGUCACCAUUAAAUAACAUAAUUCAACUUUGAAUCUGCAGCCACCAGAUGGUCCAAAUGGGAUUCAUAAGUGCAGCAGAGUGAAACUACCACAAACCGCCAUGUUUCUGUUUCAGUAAGAAUCAGAAGAACGUUUCUGUUCCUCUUUCCUGUUUAUUCACCUCCAUCUUCCAACACAGCCUGUGAGGAGGAAGCACCCUGACGUGUGGAGGACAGCUACACUUCACUGUGUUUCAUAUGUGUCCUGCCUCUCUGCUCCCAGCCGUUAAGAGGCCAUGUUGAUCAGUGGCUGUCCAGGCCUUUCAGAGACACUGACAAUGAUGAUGUCACUGACUCUACUGCUGACCACCCUGGGGCUCCUUGUUCAGGGUGAGACUCUCUUCUGGAAGCUCUGGUUCUCCACCGCCGUGUUCUGCUGCGAUGGAGAAACACGGAAACAAGCAGCGUUGACCUUCUUCCAUCGGUUCUCCGUGUUAAAGAAACCACACUCUUCUGUUGGGAUGUUGAUCAUCUUUCUCCAAACUGGAGUCGUCUCAAUAACCCUUCUGCUCUUAUUCGUGUUUUCCAGAUUCAUCAGGAGAAAUCCUCCUGACUCAGUCUCCUGGAUCUCAGUCUGUUGUUCCAGGACAGACUGUCUCCAUCAGAUGUAGAACCAGUUCAAGUGUUGGUAACUGGCUUCACUG